rnacentral:rRNA from 1 species
CCCUAGUAUAUAAAAAUAAUAUAAUUAUUAUGUGUAUGAAAUUUAAAAUUUUUGGCGGUUAUUUUAUUAAUCAGAGGAGUUUGUUAUAUUAGAAGUUACUCUUUAUAUUUAAAUUGGUUUAUGUUUAUUUAUCUCCGUUAUUAGAAUAAUAAUCUUUAAAGUUUAGGCUAGUAUUUCAGGUCAAGAUGUAGCAAUAACUAAUUGUUAAUUAACUACAUUUAUAUAAUAAUGGAUUUACUGUAUGAAAAUUUAAGUGAAAUUGGAUUUGGUUGUAAUGAAUUUUAGAGAGAAUUUAUGAAAGGAUAUAAUUAAUGUA